UCAUCGUGUUCCUUAGGUUUUGGUACAUUAAGCUUUCAAUUUCAUUCAAUUCUAGCAAUUUUGAAAUACCAUUUCUGCUUUUUUUCCACUGAGCCAACUGGGCUGCAGUUGAGUGCAACUUCCCAGCCUGGUGGUGUGUUCUUAACUCCAUGGCUUUCUGUGUUUUUUUCACUUUUGCCCUUGAUGCUGUCUAGCCCUAUUCUUUUGUGGUCAAGCAGUAAACAGGAUGUUCCAGAUUUUUCUAAACUCUGUUCCUGUUUCCCGUUCAUGCAGAGGGCUGUUGUCUAGGACAGUGAUUGGACAUGUGCAUGCGAUCUGACAGCUGCUAGAGCUUCUGCCUUGAUUUCACCAAAUGAUGGACUGUAACCUGAAACUAUAAGCCAAAUGG